CAGGGUUUGAUCCUGGCUCAGGACGAACGCUGGCGGCGUGCUUAACACAUGCAAGUCGAACGCUGAAGGCCCAGCUUGCUGGGUUGGAUGAGUGGCGAACGGGUGAGUAACACGUGAGUAACCUGCCCCYUUCUUUGGGAUAACGGUCGGAAACGGCUGCUAAUACCGGGUAUUCACUGUCCUUCGCAUGGGGGGUGGUGGAAAGGUUUUUUCUGGUGGGGGAUGGGCUCGCGGCCUAUCAGCUUGUUGGUGGGGUGAUGGCUUACCAAGGCUUUGACGGGUAACCGGCCUGAGAGGGUGACCGGUCACAUUGGGACUGAGAUACGGCCCAGACUCCUACGGGAGGCAGCAGUGGGGAAUAUUGCACAAUGGGCGAAAGCCUGAUGCAGCGACGCCGCGUGAGGGAUGACGGCCUUCGGGUUGUAAACCUCUUUCGCUCAUGGUCAAGCCGCAACUUGGGUUGUGGUGAGGGUAGUGGGUAAAGAAGCACCGGCUAACUACGUGCCAGCAGCCGCGGUAAUACGUAGGGUGCGAGCGUUGUCCGGAAUUAUUGGGCGUAAAGGGCUUGUAGGCGGUUUGUCGCGUCUGCCGUGAAAUCCUCUGGCUUAACUGGGGGCGUGCGGUGGGUACGGGCAGGCUUGAGUGCGGUAGGGGAGACUGGAACUCCUGGUGUAGCGGUGGAAUGCGCAGAUAUCAGGAAGAACACCGGUGGCGAAGGCGGGUCUCUGGGCCGUUACUGACGCUGAGGAGCGAAAGCGUGGGGAGCGAACAGGAUUAGAUACCCUGGUAGUCCACGCUGUAAACGUUGGGCACUAGGUGUGGGGGCCACCCGUGGUUUCUGCGCCGUAGCUAACGCUUUAAGUGCCCCGCCUGGGGAGUACGGCCGCAAGGCUAAAACUCAAAGGAAUUGACGGG
rnacentral:rRNA from 1 species